rnacentral:rRNA from 1 species
AUGCAGCCAUGCCGCGUGUGUGAAGAAGGCCUUCGGGUUGUAAAGCACUUCCAGUCGUGAGGAAGGUAGUGUAGUUAAUAGCUGCAUUAUUUGACGUUAGCGACAGAAGAAGCACCGGCUAACUCCGUGCCAGCAGCCGCGGUAAUACGGAGGGUGCGAGCGUUAAUCGGAAUUACUGGGCGUAAAGCGCAUGCAGGUGGUUUGUUAAGUCAGAUGUGAAAGCCCGGGGCUCAACCUCGGAAUAGCAUUUGAAACUGGCAGACUAGAGUACUGUAGAGGGGGGUAGAAUUUCAGGUGUAGCGGUGAAAUGCGUAGAGAUCUGAAGGAAUACCGGUGGCGAAGGCGGCCCCCUGGACAGAUACUGACACUCAGAUGCGAAAGCGUGGGGAGCAAACAGGAUUAGAUACCCUGGUAGUCCACGCCGUAAACGAUGUCUACUUGGAGGUUGUGGCCUUGAGCCGUGGCUUUCGGAGCUAACGCGUUAAGUAGACCGCCUGG